AUUGAACGCUGGCGGCAUGCCUUACACAUGCAAGUCGAACGGCAGCGCGGGAGCAAUCCUGGCGGCGAGUGGCGAACGGGUGAGUAAUACAUCGGAACGUGCCCAAUCGUGGGGGAUAACGCAGCGAAAGCUGUGCUAAUACCGCAUACGAUCUACGGAUGAAAGCAGGGGAUCGCAAGACCUUGCGCGAAUGGAGCGGCCGAUGGCAGAUUAGGUAGUUAGUGAGGUAAAGGCUCACCAAGCCUUCGAUCUGUAGCUGGUCUGAGAGGACGACCAGCCACACUGGGACUGAGACACGGCCCAGACUCCUACGGGAGGCAGCAGUGGGGAAUUUUGGACAAUGGGCGAAAGCCUGAUCCAGCCAUGCCGCGUGCAGGAUGAAGGCCUUCGGGUUGUAAACUGCUUUUGUACGGAACGAAACGGUCUUUUCUAAUAAAGAAGGCUAAUGACGGUACCGUAAGAAUAAGCACCGGCUAACUACGUG
rnacentral:rRNA from 1 species